rnacentral:rRNA from 1 species
AUUGAACGCUGGCGGCAGGCCUAACACAUGCAAGUCGAGCGGUAGAGAGGUGCUUGCAUCUCUUGAGAGCGGCGGACGGGUGAGUAAUGCCUAGGAAUCUGCCUGGUAGUGGGGGAUAACGCUCGGAAACGGACGCUAAUACCGCAUACGUCCUACGGGAGAAAGCAGGGGACCUUCGGGCCUUGCGCUAUCAGAUGAGCCUAGGUCGGAUUAGCUAGUUGGUGAGGUAAUGGCUCACCAAGGCGACGAUCCGUAACUGGUCUGAGAGGAUGAUCAGUCACACUGGAACUGAGACACGGUCCAGACUCCUACGGGAGGCAGCAGUGGGGAAUAUUGGACAAUGGGCGAAAGCCUGAUCCAGCCAUGCCGCGUGUGUGAAGAAGGUCUUCGGAUUGUAAAGCACUUUAAGUUGGGAGGAAGGGUCGUUACCUAAUACGUGACGAUUUUGACGUUACCGACAGAAUAAGCACCGGCUAACUCUGUGCCAGCAGCCGCGGUAAUAC